UACGAAGGGGGCUAGCGUUGUUCGGAAUUACUGGGCGUAAAGCGCGCGCAGGCGGUCUUCCAAGUCAGUGGUGAAAGCCCGGAGCUCAACUCCGGAACUGCCAUUGAAACUGUUAGACUUGAGGAUGAGAGAGGUGAGUGGAAUUCCCAGUGUAGAGGUGAAAUUCGUAGAUAUUGGGAAGAACACCGGUGGCGAAGGCGGGUCUCUGGGCAGUAACUGACGCUGAGGAGCGAAAGCGUGGGGAGCGAACAGG
rnacentral:rRNA from 1 species